GAUUAUGGCUCAGGAUGAACGCUAGCUACAGGCUUAACACAUGCAAGUCGAGGGGCAGCAUUGGAGUAGCAAUACUCAGAUGGCGACCGGCGCACGGGUGAGUAACACGUAUCCAACCUGCCGCUUACUCGGGGAUAGCCUUUCGAAAGAAAGAUUAAUACCCGAUGGUAUAAAGAGUUCGCAUGUUCUCUUUAUUAAAGAAUUUCGGUAAGCGAUGGGGAUGCGUUCCAUUAGAUAGUUGGCGGGGUAACGGCCCACCAAGUCUACGAUGGAUAGGGGUUCUGAGAGGAAGGUCCCCCACAUUGGAACUGAGACACGGUCCAAACUCCUACGGGAGGCAGCAGUGAGGAAUAUUGGUCAAUGGACGAGAGUCUGAACCAGCCAAAAGUAGCGUGAAGGAUGACUGCCCUAUGGGUUGUAAACUUCUUUUAUAAGGGAAUAAAGUGAGGGACGUGUCCCUUUUUGUAUGUACCUUAUGAAUAAGGAUCGGCUAACUCCGUGCCAGCCGCCGC
rnacentral:rRNA from 1 species